UACGUAGGGUGCGAGCGUUGCCCGGAUUUAUUGGGCGUAAAGAGCUCGUAGGCGGUUUGGUAAGUUGGAUGUGAAAUCUCCAGGCUCAACUUGGAGGGGUCAUUCGAUACUGCCAUGACUAGAGUUCGGUAGGGGAGUGUGGAAUUCCUGGUGGAGCGGUGAAAUGCGCAGAUAUCAGGAGGAACACCCGUAGCGAAGGCGGCACUCUGGACCGGAACUGACGCUGAGGAGCGAAAGCGUGGGGAGCGAACAGG
rnacentral:rRNA from 1 species